GCAGCUACACAUGCAGUCGAGCGGUAGAGAGAAGCUUGCUUCUCUUGAGAGCGGCGGACGGGUGAGUAAUGCCUAGGAAUCUGCCUAGUGGUGGGGGAUAACGUUCGGAAACGGACGCUAAUACCGCAUACGUCCUACGGGAGAAAGCGGGGGAUCUUCGGACCUCGCGCCAUUAGAUGAGCCUAGGUCGGAUUAGCUAGUUGGUGAGGUAAUGGCUCACCAAGGCGACGAUCCGUAACUGGUCUGAGAGGAUGAUCAGUCACACUGGAACUGAGACACGGUCCAGACUCCUACGGGAGGCAGCAGUGGGGAAUAUUGGACAAUGGGCGAAAGCCUGAUCCAGCCAUGCCGCGUGUGUGAAGAAGGUCUUCGGAUUGUAAAGCACUUUAAGUUGGGAGGAAGGGCAGUAACCUAAUACGUUAUUGUUUUGACGUUACCGACAGAAUAAGCACCGGCUAACUUCGUGCCAGCAGCCGCGGUAAUACGAAGGGUGCAAGCGUUAAUCGGAAUUACUGGGCGUAAAGCGCGCGUAGGUGGUUCAGUAAGUUGGAAGUGAAAUCCCCGGGCUCAACCUGGGAACUGCUUUCAAAACUGCUGAGCUAGAGUACGGUAGAGGGUGGUGGAAUUUCCUGUGUAGCGGUGAAAUGCGUAGAUAUAGGAAGGAACACCAGUGGCGAAGGCGACCACCUGGACUGAUACUGACACUGAGGUGCGAAAGCGUGGGGAGCAAACAGGAUUAGAUACCCUGGUAGUCCACGCCGUAAACGAUGUCAACUAGCCGUUGGAAGUCUUGAACUCUUAGUGGCGCAGCUAACGCAUUAAGUUGACCGCCUGGGGAGUACGGCCGCAAGGUUAAAACUCAAAUGAAUUGACGGGGGCCCGCACAAGCGGUGGAGCAUGGUGGUUUAAUUCGAAGCACGCGAAGAACCUUACCUGGCCUU
rnacentral:rRNA from 1 species